CAGAAAAAAUGUCUUCCUGAUAUUCCUGGUACCAGGAAGAAAAGAACAUUCUUGUUACCAGAGAUGAGGCGUUGACACUGAGAUGAGUGUGCACAAGGAAUAAAAUUUAAGAAUGACCCUUAAAUUGUAUUAGUUUCACCCAUAUAUUUCCUAGUCAUGUUCCCGUAGUUUACCACCCCUAUGAACCAAAACCCCUUUCCUUUGUCUAGUUUCUUUUCCACAAUUUAUUGCCCUUUGUUUAUAUGGUAUAUAAUCCCUGAGUCCAACUGCUUCUUUGGGAUUUUCAUGUCUUUCUCGUGAAGCUGCCAUACCAUGUCACACUAUUAACAUCAAAUAAAAUGUGUAUGCUUUUCUUCAGUGAAUUCACAGUUUUCAGGUACAGAAACUAAAAGAGUAGAGGAAAAUUUUUUCCUCCCCUACAGUUGCAGUUAUCUAUCAGAAUUUAUAUUGCUUAUUCUUUUACUCACUCUUUUGUUUAAUAUCCUCCCCAUGAAAAUGUAAGCUCAAUGAAAGUAAGAGGAUUAUUUUUCACCACCGUAUCUAUAGGCCCGGCAUAUAGUAAGUAUUCAAUAAAUAGUUGUUAAAUGAUUGAAUCUGCACAGAGGUGAUAUGAUUUAAGCCCCAAGGAGGCUGAGAUAUCUGAGAGAGAGAAUGUCAACAGAAGAGCCCCACUAACUGACCACUAUUGAUAUAAUAAUUUUAGGUCCCAAAUAUAGGCCAAGGUGCCACAUUACAUGAGCAUCUACUAAAUGCAAUUGAUCUUCUAAAUGAAUUGAUCUUCUUGUUUAAAGAAAAGGAAGACAACUGUGAAGGUUUGAAGGAAGGCAAAGUGAACUACCAGAAAAAGGCAUUGUGAAUAGCACACAGCAGGAGUCUAAAAGUAGAACAAAUAUCAAAGAAAUAAAUUCAAAGAAUAAAAUCCUGAUUUUAAAAAGCAGUUUUAACAUAGACUCCUCAGAAAGGAAAGGGGAAGGGGCUGGGGGGCAGAAAUUAGAUAGUAAGGCACAAUAUCUGUUCAGCAGUGGAUUCAAAUGGAAACUUCCACCAAAUAGUAUAUAUGCAUCUGUUUGUUGGGGAGAAGAAUAGUCAAAAGCAUAUUUUAUUACAUACAAAGUAAAAGAAAGCAAGUGUGAAGCAGUGGCAUUGCUAAGUUGACAGUGAUAACAGUCCUCUAGUAAUAGUGGGUUUACCCAGUUCCAUCACAGCCUCUUAUAUAGUCCAUGAUGGCCUCUUCAAGUUUCAUGUGCUACCUGGCAUUUCCCAUGAAAAGCCUACUGUGGUUGAUCUGGUGUGCUGUUACUAUGGUAAGAAAUUAAAAUGAAUAGAUAUUUAUAGUUUAUAUAGUACCACAGUGAUACUUCUCCCCUGCAAUCAAUAGUUUAUUAGCCAGAAGUGUCUAUCAAGUGUUUGUAUAGUGAUAUAUCAAAGCAGAAAACCAACUUUUUAAAAAACAUGAACUUUUGAAAAUGUAACAGAUGUUACUCACACAUGCUUUGAUACAACAGAAGAACUUUUUAAAGUGACCUAUAAAUAUAGAGGCUGUCUUAAAUAAUCAUAAUAUAAUUUUUUACCAUUUAUGUCUCAUAUUUUCCCACUUAUGGCUAAUAUAAGAAAUACAUUUUUGUGAUUCUUUUUGAGAAUUAGUUUUUUAAAAAAUAUCAUAAGAGAAAUUAUAAAUGGAAAAUUAUGCAAACAUAAAUUUGAUGAGAAGUACUCACCUUGUCAAAAUAGGCCUGUGAUUUAAAAAAAAAUGAAUUUGAAGAGAUUUUUAAUUGCAUCAUCUUUCUGUAUAAUCCAUUUCCACAUCAUUUGAUGGCACUGAUGUCAGUUUUUCAUCACUGUAGUGGCUGAGACACAUUAGAAUAAGACAGCCCUGGAUUCGUAUUCCAGCUCUAACAUGUCCUUCCUGGGUGGGUCACUUAAUCUCUCUGAGCUAAGCUUUUUUCAUCUAUAAAAUUGGGGUCAUAGGAUUAUUAUUGUAAAGAUAAAAUGAGAUAAUGUAUAUAAAACAUCUGGCAUAAAGUAAUGUGCAGUGCAGUCACAGUAAUUAUUAAUUAAAUUCAUCAACAAAUAUUCUGUGCCUUUGUUCUAGGUUCUGGGAAUGUGCAUCAGGGCUGCCUGUGGAUUAUAAAGGUUGUACAUGAAGCAAAUCCACAGGCCACUGUUUGCAACAGUGCACCCUGGAGCUAGCAGGGCACAGUCUAGAGGUCAUAUUUAUAGCCCUAACAGUGGAAAGUAGAAUGGGUAAAGUUUAUACUCUAACGAAAAAAAUAACAUUUAUUAUUAUGACUUCACACUAUCAACACCCUAACAUUCAAUAUAAUAAUAAUUAGUGAAUCACACUUUCACUUUUCAUUUCUUUGCUGUACUUCCAUCUUUGUUAGUCAGUUCACUUUUUUGAUUACCCAUUUUUAGAAAAUGUUACAGGGGUUAAUCACUGGUUGACAAGAAGACAACACAGCUGUACACUUUGCUCUCUGGGGGUAAACUGAAUAACAGAUGUGCAGUGACCAAUCACACACUAUUCUGAAGGAAGUGAUGUAAUUGGUCAUGGAUCAUGAUAUGUGUCUGUUAUUUACUUAGUGAUUUGUCAAGAGCUAGGAGCAAACUUUGUACUUUAUAUGAUUACUUACAGUUAAUAUACCAUGACCAGAGGUUGCAAAAUGGCAGGCCACAGAUUGUGUUACUGAGCCAAACUUUGGUUGGCCUGCCCGGUGCAGCAAAGCCAAACGCUGACAUUGAGAUUUGCAGUGAAAGAAAAUAAGGCAUUUAUUGCAGGGUGCCAAGCAGGGAGAAUUGGGAAGCUCAUGAUUAAGACCUGAACUCCCCGAUGGCUUGCAUGUAGGGGUUUUUAAAGGCAGGAAGGCAGAGGUUUUAAGUAAAGUCAUGAAUCAACACAUAAAGGCUAUACUUUGGUUUGACCUAAAAAGGACGGACAUCUCAAAGCAGGGGCCCACUGGUCAUAGGUAGAUUCAAAGAUUUUCUGAUUUUUUUUGGUUAAGAAGGGAUUGAAGUGUACUUUUAUGCUAUCUGUAAAAAAAAUGCUUAAUAAGUAAAUAAACAUUUUAAGUAAUAGUUGAAAAACAUUUACUUACCAGAGAAAAUAAUUUGUUUUCCAACACUUCAGUUUUCUUUUAUUUAUAAAACACUCUAUUCAAAAUGAAGGCAGUAUGGCAAGUUGGAGGCAAAAAUAUUUUGAGUUGAGGCCCUUCUUGGUAAUGUUGCACUUAAACUAUUUCUUCCUUCACUUACUCACAAAGCUUCACUUUUGCUCCAGCCCGCAAGUUUUCAGAUAACUUUGGGUACACCUUGAUCCAAAUAUAGAAAUACUCUUUGCCAGCCUAACAUGGACUCAGUCAUUCCCAAAGUAAUCACACACCCCUCAGCUUUAUUCAGCAAACUUUACUGAAGGCUUACUGCAUGCUGGCUCACUGUAUGCGUGCUUACUCCCAUGCAAUAUGCAGGCACUCCAACAGUUUAGGGUGUGGACUUGACAAAGAUACCGUGUUACUUAGGCUCUUUUACUUGGCAAGGUACAGAGCAUACUUAGGUUACUUGAGGAGACAGAAAUUGUUAGAAAAACACAUGGAAAACUAUGGAGCUACAAGAAGACUCUUGUAGGUGGCCCGGUCUCACAGAGAACUAGAACAUGGUAUAAUAAUAGUUCUGAAGCUCUCACAGUAUGACAAGAGCUCUGGUCAUCUGGACAUCACCUCAGGUUUGUUUAUCUAUCUAGUGACUGUACAAUUACUGUGACUCAGCCAUUCUCUUAUCUUCCUUAUUUUGCUUCCUUUUGUAACUUUUCUCCACUUCAUGUCUUCUCCUACCUCAUUGCUUCUGUUUUAAGCCUUUACACAUCAUGCCUCUGAGUUUCUGAUGCUCUCUUCUGUCUGUGGCCCACCUUGUGUGACUCUACUCAAAAGCUCCAAGAAAGAGGAUCUGUCCUAAGCAUCUAUUUAAGUUCUGAAAUCAGUUUCCCCAUAAGGAUUCAUAGGGCCUUAGGACCAGGCACCAACACCUAGUUUAACCAGAGGCAUAUUGAUUGUCCUAAGUCUGACAACCGUUGACUUGGUCCCUGGGAUGCUGUAGAGUACCCCUGGGAGAUUUUCUUCUCUACUGAUUUUAGCAAUAGACCUCUCCCUGACCCAAAACAAAAUGACCAGACUAGCCAGAACAGAAUGACAGGUCACCAUAUAUUUAGUGGUAAUUUGGAGGAAAAAAACAGUAUUAGAGGGUUAGGGUACUAAGCACUGAAAGCAACAUGGGAAAAAUAAGGAAGCAAAACUGGCUAAGCCACUAAAAAAACAUGAUCUCAUUUAAUCGAGACCUAAAAGGAUUAUUAUGUGUUCCAAAUGCACCUACCAACAAGAUAAUUGGGAGUCGCAAUGAUAGUUCAUAAAAACUCUGAGUACAAGAGCUGGGGAGUACAAGAGCUGGGAAAUACAUCAUAGGCCGCUUAUCCA
rnacentral:lncRNA from 1 species